rnacentral:rRNA from 1 species
UACGUAGGCAGCGAGCGUUGUUCGGAGUUACUGGGCGUAAAGAGUGCGUAGGCGGUUUUCUAAGUUUGGUGUGAAAGCCCCCGGCUCAACUGGGGAGGGUCAUUCGAUACUGAUCGACUCGAAGGCAGGAGAGGGAAGUGGAAUUCCCGGUGUAGUGGUGAAAUGCGUAGAUAUCGGGAGGAACACCAGUGGCGAAGGCGACUUCCUGGCCUGUUCUUGACGCUGAGGCGCGAAAGCUAGGGGAGCAAACGGG